CAAAGUGUAACUUAACUAAAGUGCUUCGCUUACACCGAAAACAUGUCUGUUAAACCCAGACCACUUUGAG
rnacentral:tRNA from 1 species